UGACAUCCAGAUAGGAGAUCUUAAGUCUUCAACUGAUUCUACUUGGGAAGAAAAAUGAAGAGAUUGAUUCAUGAUUUAUUCCUGAUCCUGUGGCUGCAGCUGCACUUGCUGAGCCAAGGAGAGAAGGUGGAGCAGAGUCCUUCUGUCCUGAGUGUGCAGGAGGGAGACAGCUGUGUCAUCAAUUGUACUUACACGGACAGUGCCUCAGUCUACUUCCCUUGGUACAAGCAAGAGCCAGGACAGGGUCCCCAGCAUAUUAUAGACAUCCGUUCAAAUCGGGACAGAAAUGAAAAUGGAAAACUCCUAGUCUUAUUGAAGAAGAAUGACAAACACCUUUCCCUGCACAUCAAAGAUACCCAGCCUGAGGACUCAGCUGUCUACUACUGUGCAGCAAUUGGGACCAUCUACUUCUUUGGAAUUCCCAAGCAGUAG